GUGAAGACCUGGGUGUGGACAUGUCACCGCAUACUCCAUCUCUUCCUCCUGGCAUCCCCCUCCUGCGCCUCCAUACUGGGCCUGGCCUACUACUCCCAGCAGCACCUCCCACCAGAGAGCACACCGCCAGCCUCUCCUCCAUGUACCUCCCCGGCUUGUCACAGAGCUACCGCCCGUCUGCCCGUCUCAGUCGACCCCUUCACUCAGCCUUGUGACUACUUCCUGUUUCCCUGUGGGUCUGAGGGGGUGUCUCUGUCCACCAGGGGGAGACAGAGGGGCAAGGGUGUCCCCCUACACCCACAGGGUCAUGAGCUGGGCAGUACAGGCAGAGAAAGAGGGAGAAAGGAGAGAGAGACAGGCAAAGACAUAAGAGAAAAGGUUCCAGCAGACAGAAUGCCAGAUCGACUGCUGACAAUGAGGGAGAUUUUGGGCAGAGGAGCUGAUUCAGAAUGUCUAUUCCUCCAUCAAGUCCAAACUACCUGAUCUCAGGUGGAGAGAUGAGGAGUCUCGCAUGUCUGUUUUGAAUAAGAUUCAGUCUCUAACUCCAAGACUUUCAACUAAAAACAACAUUUUCAGUGAAGCUGAACUCAGCCAACUGUAUUCAAAGGAAGAGUAUUUUAUUGUAGUGGAACUAGUCUACAUUGCCAAUAAGAUAUAGGAUUUCUUAAUCAAUAUCACUAUUGAAUCAUAUUACCAGUGAUGAUAAUACAUUGUACUAUAUACGUACUGGUAGUUCAUUUUCCCCCAUUUAUUUAAUUAAUAGGUGACAAUUGACGUAACACAAGUAUUUUUUUUUAUCUACAUCCAGUCUCUCUCCCUCUAGCACCAGGGAUCAAACAAACUCUUUUCCCAGACUGAAGGAGAUGAUAUUUGGUCCAUCACUCCAUUUCUCUCCGACAAUGAGCUAGUCUUUCCCAUGGGGAUGUUUGUCCAGCCUCUCUUCCACCCUAGCUAUC